GGCUGGGUAGCUCAGUGGAUUGAGAGCCUAGCCUAGAGGUCGAAGGUCCGUAGGUUCGAAUCCUGCUUCAGCCA
rnacentral:tRNA from 1 species